rnacentral:rRNA from 1 species
GAUGAACGCUAGCGAUAGGCCUAACACAUGCAAGUCGAGGGGCAUCACAUGAAGUAGCAAUACGGAUGGUGGCGACCGGCGCACGGGUGAGUAACACGUAUGCAACCUGCCUUCAACAAGGGGAUAACCCGUUGAAAGACGGACUAAUACCCUAUAACACAGGGGUCCCGCAUGGGAAUAUUUGUUAAAGGACAACCGGUUGAAGAUGGGCAUGCGUUCCAUUAGCUAGUUGGCGGGUAAGGCCCACCAAGGCAACGAUGGAUAGGGGAACUGAGAGGUUUAUCCCCCACACUGGUACUGAGACACGGACCAGACUCCUACGGGAGGCAGCAGUGAGGAAUAUUGGUCAAUGGACGCAAGUCUGAACCAGCCACGUCGCGUGAAGGAAGACGGCCCUACGGGUUGUAAACUUCUUUUAUACGGGAAUAAAGUGCCCCACGCGUGGGGUUUUGCAUGUACCGUAUGAAUAAGGAUCGGCUAA